rnacentral:rRNA from 1 species
ACACCGGCGGCCCGAGUGGUGAUCGUGAUUAUUGGGUCUAAAGGGUCCGUAGCCGGUUUGGUCAGUCCUCCGGGAAAUCUGAUAGCUCAACUAUUAGGCUUUCGGGGGAUACUGCCAGACUUGGAACCGGGAGAGGUAAGAGGUACUACAGGGGUAGGAGUGAAAUCUUGUAAUCCCUGUGGGACCACCUGUGGCGAAGGCGUCUUCCCAGCACGGGUUCGACGGGGAGGCACGAAAGCUGGGGGCACGACCGGGAUUAGAGUCCCGGGUGGUCCCAGCCGUAAACGAUGGUCGCUAGGUGUCAGGCAUGGCGCGACCGUGUCUGGUGCCGCAGGGAAGACGUGAAGCGAGCCACCUGGGAACUACGGCCGCAAGGCUGAAACUCAAAGGAAUUGACGGGG